ensembl:lncRNA
CCUUGUUUCCGAUCGCAUUUUGAGUCGUUUUGGGGGUUAUUUUAAGAGUCGAUAUGUUGACAUCAAGACAACCGUGCGGGAGAUCGGUUUAGUAAUUAAUAGUCGAUGUUAUGAAUUUUACAGUGAUGGAUCGAUUGGCAUUAGGAACAAGUAGAAGCAUCUCACCCCCUGGAUGGAAGAUUCAGUCUCCCGCUUCGGUUCCAGCACCGAAUGACUGAGGUCUGAGGACGGACAUUUUUUGCAGUGUUGCCAUCGACGACUGGAGGGGCUGGGGGGGGGGGGGCUCUGACAGGCACAAUUUACAUUGAGCUCGCCCCGCGCUGCUAUUUACUUUGAAACCUGAUUAGUAUGGGCCGUCUAUUGUCACCAAAAAAGAGGAAGAAACCCUGGACAGAAUAGCAAAAAAGCGGGGUAAAGGAAAGAGUGGACAAAGAUUUUACGCACGACAAAUAUACCCAAAAAAAAAAAAAAAAAAAAAAUGUACACAGCGGCAAAAGGGGGAUUCUGCUUCAGAAAUUCCCCGAAGUUUCAAAAUGGUUUGUCUCGGACUGUUAUCUUCAUUAUAGAAUUAACGGAUGUCAUUAAUGUUUUGCCAUGGAUUGAUAUUUUCACAGGCUGUUUUGUCCUUGGCAUGCGCAUUGCGGUACAUCGUUGCCUGUAAUCGGCACAGUCUCGCUGAUUAAAACUUAACGUUUAGUUUAAACCAGUUAAUAAGAGAAAGAAAAUGUCAGUGGGAAGAAUGAUGCAUAAAAGACAGUGUUAUACAAACGGGAUGCCUUGCCAGCGGCCGAAAAUCUCUAAAAUUAGACCGAGGAAUGAGCAAUAUUCAAUAAUUACCAAGGUCCUAUAGUCUCUACAAUCACUGAGCCGGUGUCAUAUUAUGUCUUAAUAAUGACAGUAAUUCAAAAUGUGAAGUUACUGACAAUUUGCAUGGGGAUUCCGGCUUUUUUCUUGUACCAGGGUUUCUGCAGGCUUACUGCCUCUCCAACUCAAAAAUGUCUGGAUCGCGCUGCCAUCUAGCGUACAUUGUACAAUUACAGCCUCAUAUAAAUGCAUCCAUAACUCAUCAGACAUGCAUUUUAAAUCGCAAAAGCGGAUUUUAAAAAUAUAAAAGUCCGAACUUUGCCGCUGUUGUCUUUUAUCCUUUGUGUGGAUAAAAGACAACAGGAUAUUUUUAUCCACGAGGUUAUGAAAUGUACAACUGUUUUGUUGUUAGGGAUGUAUAACUUAAACAAACAAAAAACAAAACACAACAAAAAAACCCACCAAACCUUCAGCGAACAUAAAAAAUACGUGUUAUUACAUCUGAAUAAAUAUAGCGACAAUAAUACACUACACUCUUGAUCGCACGGAAUAUAGAUUGAACACAAACCCCCAAACCGUGUGCGUACAUGUCCAAAAACAUGGUAAUACCGUGCUGAGACUCAGUAACUAUGCACAAUACGUAUAAUUGUUGUUUAAUGAAUUAAAGACGUUGUAAACAGAGCUUUAACCUCACCGAGAUAAUAGCAGACAUAAAGGAGCGUUAAUAUGCAAGUGCCCCCUUUGUAAACGCAUAGGAGGGAUGGGUUGUUUUUUAAGUAUUCAACAAGAGAGCUCUCUCUCCCGUCCCUGUCUCGGACACUCCACUGAAACUCCCCGGCCAUAUCUCUAGCUCUUUGAAAAGGUGAAACCAAUAAGAUUAAAUCGGACAAAGAUUUUUUUUUCUUCUUCUGUAAGUGUAUCAUUAAGAUUUAACUCUACAGAUUGGAAAGGGUCUCCGCGGGAGAAGAGGAGAGGAGAGUGAGAGUGAGAGGGACAGCGAAUGGGAGCAGGGUAGACGCUCUAAUAGAAUCUGGGAAUCGGCAAGAGUAAAAAGGAGAAAGUGGACGUCAGGACAUUAAAAGAAGAAGCGCCAGCGACGGUGGUUAACGGUAGCGGAGCAGCUUUCUACGUGGGCAAACCGGGCACCGAUAAGGCAAAGAGGAACACGGUGGCCUGCUGCCUGGACACACAGUGGGACAUGUUGGUGUGGUGAAGGGCUGACACUCGGAUGAGAUGUAAUUUAUGGCAAGUGUUGUGUGGUCAUAGGACAGUGACAGUGACGCGUCUGCUUAGAAGCACGAGAAUUGCGACCACGAAGAGCGGUAAAUAUAACAUAAAAGAUUUCUUUCUAACAUGCCGUUCCUCAGAAUGCUACCACCUGUGUCUUGAGGAAGAAAGGAGCCAACCACCCGCAUUCCUUUUACCAGGAGCUGGUAAAGCUACAAAAGUCACUGUUAUAUGAACACACACAGUCACCAUCGAUGACUGUGCAGCCACAAUUGUUGCAAAGGAGCCUCGAGACCAACAAAGCUGGCUGAGACGGUAGCGCCGAAUGGAUCACGCUCUUGAAUUUGAUUUCAUAAUGAUGUAAGAUUACUAAGAGGCAAUGCAACACAGCAAAGAUCUUAAUAAAAAACACAUCAAUCUUGA